rnacentral:tRNA from 1 species
AGCUCAGUGGUAGAGCACAUGCCUAACAUGCACGAGGUCCUGGGUUCAAUCCCCAG